rnacentral:rRNA from 1 species
AGAAUCAACUCUGGCGGCGUGCCUAACACAUGCAAGUCGAACGAGAAAGUGGAGCAAUCCAUGAGUACAGUGGCGCACGGGUGAGUAACACGUGACUACCUACCCUCGAGUGGGGAAUAACCUCGGGAAACCGGGGCUAAUACCGCAUAACAUCUACGGAUCAAAUGCGAAAGCAGCUUGAGGAGGGGGUCGCGGCCGAUUAGCUAGUUGGUGAGGUAAUGGCCCACCAAGGCAAUGAUCGGUAGCCGGCCUGAGAGGGCGCACGGCCACACUGGAACUGAAACACGGUCCAGACUCCUACGGGAGGCAGCAGUGGGGAAUUUUGCGCAAUGGGGGAAACCCUGACGCAGCAACGCCGCGUGGAGGAUGAAGCCCCUUGGGGUGUAAACUCCUUUCGAUCGGGACGAUUAUGACGGUACCGGAAGAAGAAGCACCGGCUAACUCUGCGCCAGCAGCCGC